GAUGAAGAACGCAGCGAAAUGCGAUAAGUAAUGUGAAUUGCAGAAUUCAGUGAAUCAUCGAAUCUUUGAACGCACAUUGCGCCCCCUGGUAUUCCGGGGGGCAUGCCUGUCCGAGCGUCAUUACAACCCUCAAGCUCAGCUUGGUGUUGGGCCCCGCCGCCCCGGCGGGCCCUAAAGUCAGUGGCGGUGCCGUCCGGCUCCGAGCGUAGUAAUUCUUCUCGCUCUGGAGGUCCGGUCGUGUGCUCGCCAGCAACGCCCAAUUUUUUUCAGGUUGACCUCGGAUCAGGUAGGGAUACCCGCUGAACUUAAGCAUAUCAAUAAGCGGAGGA
rnacentral:misc_RNA from 1 species